rnacentral:rRNA from 1 species
UACGGAGGGUGCAAGCGUUAUCCGGAUUCACUGGGUUUAAAGGGUGCGUAGGAGGGCAGGUAAGUCAGUGGUGAAAUCUUCGAGCUUAACUCGGAAACUGCCGUUGAUACUAUUUGUCUUGAAUACCGUGGAGGUGAGCGGAAUAUGUCAUGUAGCGGUGAAAUGCUUAGAUAUGACAUAGAACACCGAUUGCGAAGGCAGCUCACUACACGAAUAUUGACUCUGAGGCACGAAAGCGUGGGGAUCAAACAGG